rnacentral:rRNA from 1 species
UACGUAGGGCGCAAGCGUUAUCCGGAAUUAUUGGGCGUAAAGAGCUCGUAGGCGGUUUGUCGCGUCUGCCGUGAAAGUCCGGGGCUCAACUCCGGAUCUGCGGUGGGUACGGGCAGACUAGAGUGAUGUAGGGGAGACUGGAAUUCCUGGAGUAGCGGUGAAAUGCGCAGAUAUCAGGAGGAACACCGAUGGCGAAGGCAGGUCUCUGGGCCGAUACUGACGCUGAGGAGCGAAAGCGUGGGGAGCGAACAGG